rnacentral:rRNA from 1 species
UACGGGGGGGGCAAGCGUUGUUCGGAAUUACUGGGCGUAAAGGGCUCGUAGGCGGCCAACUAAGUCGGACGUGAAAUCCCUCGGCUUAACCGGGGAACUGCGUCCGAUACUGGAUGGCUUGAGUUCGGGAGAGGGAUGCGGAAUUCCAGGUGUAGCGGUGAAAUGCGUAGAUAUCUGGAGGAACACCGGUGGCGAAGGCGGCAUCCUGGACCGACACUGACGCUGAGGUGCGAAAGCCAGGGGAGCGAACGGG